UUGCAAAUGUUUCAUAGAAAACAAUCCGUUCCAAUAAAAAUUCUAUUGUGUCUUAUUGGUUUAUAUUGGCAGAAUUGGAAACGGUCUGGAGAACGAUCUUAGUUUUGUUGGCUACUAUAGCGUAAAUCCAAUAGCAUUGGCCGUUAUUGUAAAUGGGUGAUUCGAAUUGUAAAAAAAAACUAUUGUGGUUACACAAUAGAAACGUUUGAAUUUCUAUUGGGACUUUCCAACAAGAUGCACAAUCGUUUUUGUAUCUGUUGGCUUCUAACGUGUUUUUCCAAUAUUAUUGUAUUUGAGAGGGAAUAAACAAGUUUUCCAUUGUGAAAAUUAAUUGUUGGGAAUUCCCAAUGUAAAUGUUACGAUUUAUAUUGUGAAUUUUCAAUAGAAACAAGCACCGUUUUGGUAUUAGUUGUCUCCUAAUGGUGUGUUAUUGCUUCUAUUACCUUACCUGUUGGAUUUGAGUGGUUAUGAUUUGAUGGAGAAAUAGCAGCGUUUUUUGUAGUUUUCAAUUGGGGAAUUUGUGUAGGUAUCUACCGCGCAUUCGCAUUUCGCAUACGCAAGACGAGACGUAACCAUAACCACGAAUUCUUUGCGUGUAUUUUUAUUUCCAAGUUUCUAUUUUAACGAUUUCGGUUUACGAAGACAAAUACCUAAACUGUAGUGACGCUUCGAGUUUAAACAAUAUUAGAAGAUGUAUGCAUAUGUCAUCUUCGAAGAAGACAAUGUGCCACUUGUCGUGUCUAUUAAUGACAUAAAAUUUAAAAAUUCAACUUACGAAAACUAUAAUUCGGCAAAAACGUACAAAGUAAAAUAUACCGAUGGUCAUUUUUAUAAGGCUUUUAUCAUCGCAGUAGCGGAAACAAUGGAAGAGGUCAAAAUGAAAGCCGAGGAGAAGCGUAUUCGUUUGCCUGCUGCCAAACUGAGGGAGUUAAAUGUUGCAAACGAUGAGAUUAGUUCAUCGGACAAUGAAAAUAUUCCUCUUAAUACAAUGGAACGAAAUUCCACAAAAAAACAAAAGAAGAGUCAGGAGAGAGCAUACCAAUUAGAAAAUUAUCACAAAAUAAUGAAGUCUGUGUCAAAUCAAGAAAUGCCCAUGGAUCUGCCAAAUACUAUGGAAAGUAAAAAUUGGAAAGAAAAAUAUGAAGAAUUAAAAAAAGAAAACAAAGCAUUAACGGAAGAAGUCCAAAAGUUAAAGGAGCUAAAUAUUAACUUACAAGAAGAGGUGAUAGCAAAAUUUAAAAGUAUAGACUUCAUGCAAAAUCCGAUUCCACCAAUGGUAACUAUGGACAGCCAAGAAACUUCCAAACCGAUCCCCGAUGAUGUUCCAGUGGCCGGACUAUAUGAUGGCCAAAUUCACAUUGGACGAGGAGAAUGGUUACCUGUAGCCAUUUUUAAUAUGUGUAUGGCAAAAAAAAAAGAUUCUAUCUUUAUCAAAGAGAUUGCGUGUUCCUUAUUUUCGCCAGACGUAUUAUCUAAAUCAUCAGUGACUGGUCAACCUGGUAAUAAGACCUCAAAUCCUGCCAAGCCUGCAUUAGACCCCACCAAACUUCUUGCAAUUGAAGGAAUGUCACUCCGUAGAUAUACUCCAAUUCAGAAUGUUUCAAAGAGGCGAUACCCCUGAUCUAAAAAUUAUCAGAAACUGUGUCCAUAAACACGUUCGUGAUAAAAUUCAGGACCUCAUUAGACCACCAAGGGCGUCAAAAUCCAAAAAAUUAAAUAGUCAGAGCAACCCUCAGCAUAGAUUGUCACCUGAGGAACCUCAAGUAGUAGAAGAGCAUGUGCAGGAUGCAAAUAUGGAAAUUGUUGUGCCUAAUACCUUUAUCACUGAAAAUGCUGUAGUCCUAGUAGAUGAGUUAGGAGUUGAAAUUGGCCAUAUAUAGUAACGAUCAAAUUUAUUGAAUUUCUACUACAUUUGGGAAUUCACAAAUAACUUUUGUUUUACCAGUAUCAAUAAAAAUACAUUUAGAUUCGUAGUCAGACAUAGAUAUUAGUAGUAAUUCAUAGGUACUCUCUUUAACAUAAAACAUAUGAUUUAGUGUAACUUGCCCACAAAUGUAUGGUUGUGUGUGUAAUUUUUUAACUAGCAUAAAUGCUUUUUCCUUGUAAAGGAUAAAUUCUAAAAUCUCAACAAAAUCUUGGCAUUUUGUUUUUAUAACAGCGUUACAUUUUUUCGAUACAUUCAUGUAAUCAUUGCUAUGAAGCAUAGUGUUAUUAUACACACAUCUCUUGUAAAUAAAACCAUUUUCAGGUACAUCAGUUUUCAGGCUAUGAAGAUCUUCGAAAUUGUUAGUUCUUAAAAAUUUUAAUUUCGUUAUCAUUUCACUGGCAUUUAUAAGAGACGCUUUUCCUAACAAAAUGCUUUCACCUGCAACAGUCUUUCUUUUGUAAUGCCUUUUGUGGCCCACAAUUAGAUUAUUACAGAAUAUAACAGAAUUUUCAUUAAUAACGUUAUUACUUUGAAUACGAGGCACAAAUGUAUUAAAAUUAUAUAAUUUCUUAGCAA